UACGAAGGGGGCUAGCGUUACUCGGAUUGACUGGGCGUAAAGGGCGCGUUGGCGGAUGGUACAGUCAGACGUGAAAUUCCUGGGCUCAACCUGGGGGCUGCGUUUGAUACGUGCUGUCUGGAGUUCGGAAGAGGGUCGUGGAAUUCCCAGUGUAGAGGUGAAGUUCGUAGAUAUUGGGAAGAACACCGGUGGCGAAGGCGGCGACCUGGUCCGAUACUGACGCUGAGGCGCGAAAGCGUGGGGAGCAAACAGG
rnacentral:rRNA from 1 species